UUUUUUUCCUGGGUCGAGAGGCCCGGGUAAUCUGUUGAACGUGCAUCGUGAUAGGGAUAGAUCAUUGCAAUUAUUGAUCUUGAACGAGGAAUUCCUAGUAAACGCGAGUCAUCAGCUCGCAUUGAUUACGUCCCUGCCCUUUGUACACACCGCCCGUCGCACCUACCGAUUGAAUCAUUCGGUGAGGAUUCCGGAUUCUGUUAUUUACGCUUCACGGCGUUUCUGACGAAAGAAGUUAUCCAAACCUCAUGAUUUAGAGGAAGGUGAAGUCGUAACAAGGUUUCCGUAGGUGAACCUGCGGAAGGAUCA
rnacentral:rRNA from 1 species